ACAUGCAAGUCGAGCGCCUCGCAAGAGGAGCGGCAGACGGGUGAGUAACGCGUGGGAAUCUACCCAUCUCUACGGAACAACUCCGGGAAACUGGAGCUAAUACCGUAUACGUCCUUCGGGAGAAAGAUUUAUCGGGNAUGGAUGAGCCCGCGUUGGAUUAACUAGUUGGUGGGGUAAUGGCCUACCAAGGCGACGAUCCAUAGCUGGUCUGAGAGGAUGAUCAGCCACACUGGGACUGAGACACGGCCCAGACUCCUACGG
rnacentral:rRNA from 1 species